rnacentral:tRNA from 1 species
GGAGUGGAAUCCGGUCCGUCUUGGCCAACUUGACUGGCAGUCAAGAGGUCGCCGGUUCGAUCCCGGUCAGCUCCA